rnacentral:siRNA from 1 species
AUGUGGAGUUUCAGGAUCGCGCCU